GAUCCAUGGCUCAGGAUGAACGCUAGCUACAGGCUUAACACAUGCAAGUCGAGGGGCAGCAUGAACUUAGCUUGCUAAGUUUGAUGGCGACCGGCGCACGGGUGAGUAACACGUAUCCAACCUGCCGAUGACUCGGGGAUAGCCUUUCGAAAGAAAGAUUAAUACCCGAUGGCAUAGUUCUUCCGCAUGGUAGAACUAUUAAAGAAUUUCGGUCAUCGAUGGGGAUGCGUUCCAUUUAGG
rnacentral:rRNA from 1 species